UACAAAGUGCCCAAAGUCCUGGCCCAUGGU
rnacentral:piRNA from 1 species